CAUUACACAGCCACCGUUUACUAGAAUAUAGUUAUCCUACUUGGAUAACUGUGGCAAUUCUAGAGCUAAUACAUGCAAAAAAGCUCUGCCCGCAAGGAACGAGCGCAUUUAUUAGAAUAAAAACCAAUCGGGUUUCGGCCCGUAAUUUGGUGAAUCUGAAUAACUUUGCCAAUCGCACAGUCCUAGUACUGGCGAUGUAUCUUUCAAGUGUCUGCCUUAUCAACUUUCGAUGGUAGGUUAUACGCCUACCAUGGUAGUAACGGGUAACGGAGAAUAAGGGUUCGACUCCGGAGAGGGAGCCUGAGAAACGGCUACCACAUCCAAGGAAUGCAGCAGGCGCGCAAAUUACCCACUUCCAGAACGGAGAGGUAGUGACGAAAAAUAACGAGACAGUCCUCUUCGAGGUCUGUCAUCGGAAUGGGUACAAUUUAAAUCCUUUAACGAGGAUCUAUUGGAGGGCAAGUCUGGUGCCAGCAGCCGCGGUAAUUCCAGCUCCAAUAGCGUAUAUUAAAGUUGUUGCGGUUAAAACGCUCGUAGUUGGAUCUGCGGCCUCGGAGAACGGUCCCCCGAAAGGGUGGUCACUGUCUCUCCCAGCCUAAAUUCGAGUCGUCUCUAGGUGCUCUUUACGG
rnacentral:rRNA from 1 species